GCAAGACGACACAGACGGCGACGGCUCUCAGCAAAUCAAACCAACCCACCAAACACCAAAAAUCCCCGCACGAGCUCCGAUUUCAAAUUCCCCCGGCAGAGCUCGCCGCCGGAGAUGGAGGCGGCGCGGGAGUCCAUGGCGGCCCUCCUCGACGCCGGCCUUUUCGCCUCCGCCCAAACCCUGGGUAGUUUCCUUGUGUCGUCAUCUGGUGCGAGCAACGAUGCUGGCAUGUCCAUGAAGGCGGAAAGCCUGGUCCUGCAUGGUGAUGCUUUGUAUGGAGAGAAAGAGUUCCGUAGGGCACUGAAUGCAUACAAGCAAGCUAUGCAAUGUAGCAGAAGUAUCCCUAGGCAAGCAACAAGUAACAUCAGAAGCUCAGUGUCUGCCACAGGCCGGUCGCCUUCUCCAAAUUCUUCGAAUCUCUUACCAUUCAACGAAAACGAGGUGAAGUUCAAGAUUGCACUUUGCCAUUCUGCUCUAUGUGAGCACCGUGAAGCACUUCAAGAGAUGGAGGGUAUUCCUUCUAAAGUGAGAACGCUGAAAAUGAAUCUGAUGUUAGGGAAGCUUUAUCGAAUAUCAAGAAAUAGCCGUUCAGCUGUUGUCUGUUAUAAAGAGUGCUUGAGGCACUGCCCUUAUGUUUUUGAAGCUAUUACAGCUUUGGCGGAAAUGGGGCUUUCUGCAAAGGAAUUUUCUUUAUUAUUUUCACAAGCACCAAAUAGAGGAGGCAAGCUUCCAAGUGACUCUUUAGAUGCACAACGAUGGUGGAAUUGGUAUGUUGAGGCGCAGUGUUGCAUUGCUUCACAUGAUUAUAAAGGUGGCCUUGACAUAUAUCUAGAACUAAUGCAACGAUUCCCCAAUAAUGUGCAUAUCCUGCUGGAAAUUGCAAAGGUUGAAGCGAUCAUAGGCAGGAAUGAUGAAGCAAUAAUGAACUUUGAGAAGGCUCGGUUGAUUGACCCAAACAUUAUGACAUAUAUGGAUGAGUAUGCAAUUCUCCUAAAAACAAAAUUUGACUAUAUCAAACUGAACAAGCUGGUACAUGAUAUGCUGCAUAUUGACCCCGCAAGACCAGAGACAUGUGUUGCUCUUGCAGCAAUGUGGGAAAGAAAAGAUGAAAGAAAAGCUUUGACAUAUGCAGAAAAGAGCCUUCGAGUUGAUGAUAGGCAUAUAACUGGUUAUAUUAUGAAGGGCAAUCUGCAUCUUUCAUUGAACCGGCCAGAUAUGGCAGUGACCGACUUCAGAGGAGCUCAAGAAUUGAGGGCUGAUCUUCGUUCUUAUCAAGGUUUAGUGCGUGCUUAUCUAGCACUUGCUAAAUGCAAAGAUGCAUUAUUCACUGCACGUGAGGCAAUGAAGGUUAUGCAUCAGUCUGCAAAAGCUCUCAAGCUAGUUGGUGAUGUUCAUGCAAUCAGUUCCAGUGGGAGAGAGAAGAUGUUGGUGAAGUGUUACGCAAGGACUGCUUUCAGAUGUUGCCCCAUGUUUUUAAUAUUUUACCGUGUAAUUCCUUGGCAAGAAAGUUCUAUGAAUCUGCCAUUCGUCUUGAACCUGGAUUUCUAGGAGCUGCACUGGCCCUGGCUGAUCUGCAUGUUGCGGAAGGACGUAACAGGGAGGCUGUUACUCUACUCGAGAGAUAUGUACGACAAUGGGCUGAUGAUUCUGUAAACAUCAAGCUGGCUCAAGUUUAUGCAGCAACAAACAUGCUUAAUGAUGCACUUUUCCAUUAUCAAUGUGCAUUAAGGAUAAACCCACAAAAUGAGGCUGCAAAGAAAGGAUUGGAGCGUUUGGAGAAACAAAUGAAGGGAGUAGACCCAGAUGCACCUGAAGAGGAUGAAGAUAACGAGGCCGAUGACAUUGACGCUGACCAAGAUGAUGCUGAGCUGCUAUAGAGAAACAUUGUGAGCUCGAGAAGAUCACCACGGCAACUCUUGGUUCCAAAGAGCAACGUCUGGUUGCACAAUCCUCUCAUCAGUCAACAGGCAUGGCAACCGGACCCACGGCUGUGCAAGUUAGAUUAGGAGGAGCUCCAGACUUGCUGUGCUCUGCCGUUUUAGCCAACUUUCGUGGUAAGAAAAAAAAUGCACGGCGAUUGCACGAUGAAGGCUGUAAGCUACUAGGGUCCAGGCUGUACACAUCAAAAUUGUUGUCCUCUUUAGGUCUUGUUUGGAUAAACACAUUCCCUCCCAUUACGUAUGGAUUGGAGGUGAUUUAUAUGUAUCCAAACAAGGCCUUAGAUUGUUGUGCAUUCUGAAUGUCUCGUGGAUUGCUCUGCAGGAAGAGUUGCUGCUACGAUCAAUUGUUGCUUGUAGGUACUUGCAGUUACAUAAGCUUCUGCAGCCUGCAUAGAAACAAUAUUAGCAUGAUAUCAGUUGAACAAGUUUUUCUGUUGAUGAACACGCACAAUAUUAUAUUU